rnacentral:snRNA from 1 species
AUACUUACCUGGCAGGGGACAUCAUGAAGGUGGUUUUCCCAGGGCGAGGCUCACGCGUUGCACUCCGGAUGUGCUGACCCCUGCGAUUUCCCCCAGGGUGGGAAACUCGACUGCAUAAUUUGUGGUAGUGAGGACUGCGUUCACGAUCUCCCCU